rnacentral:rRNA from 1 species
GCAGAACGCGAAGAACCUUACCAGGGUUUGACAUCCCAAGAAGGCUUCCGAAAGGAAACUGUGCCGUAAGGAACUUGGUGACAGAUGAUGCAUGGCCGUCGUCAGCUCGUGUCGUGAGAUGUUUGGUUAAGUCCAUCAACGAGCGCAACCCUUGUGAAUAGUUGUAUUUUUCUAUUCAGACUGCCCCGGCAACGGGGAGGAAGGAGGGGAGUGAGGUCAGGUCUGUAUUUCUCUUACAUCCUGGGCGUAGAAACACGAUACAAUGGCUAGUACAAUGCGCAGCGAAGCCGCGAGGUGGAGCAAAUCGCAUCAAAGCUAGUCCCAGUUCGGAUUGUAGGCUGAAACUCGCCUGCAUGAAGUCGGAAUCGCUAGUAAUCGCAGGUCAGCAAACUGCGGUGAAUACGUUCCCGGGUC